GCUCAACCGUGGAGGGUCAUUGGAAACUGGGAGGCUUGAGUGCAGAAGAGAAGAGCGGAAUUCCACGUGUAGCGGUGAAAUGCGUAGAGAUGUGGAGGAACACCAGUGGCGAAGGCGGCUCUUUGGUCUGUAACUGACGCUGAGGCGCGAAAGCGUGGGGAGCGAACAGGAUUAGAUACCCUGGUAGUCCACGCCGUAAACGGUGAGUGCUAAGUGUUAGGGGGUUUCCGCCCCUUAGUGCUGCAGCAAACGCAUUAAGCACUCCGCCUGGGGAGUACGGCCGCAAGGCUGAAACUCAAAGGAAUUGACGGGGGCCCGCACAAGCGGUGGAGCAUGUGGUUUAAUUCGAAGCAACGCGAAGAACCUUACCAGGUCUUGACAUCCCGCUGGCCGGUGCAGAGAUGUGCCUUUCCCUUCGGGGACAGCGGUGACAGGUGGUGCAUGGUUGUCGUCAGCUCGUGUCGUGAGAUGUUGGGUUAAGUCCCGCAACGAGCGCAACCCUUGAUCUUAGUUGCCAGCAUUGAGUUGGGCACUCUAAGGUGACUGCCGGUGACAAACCGGAGGAAGGUGGGGAUGACGUCAAAUCAUCAUGCCCCUUAUGACCUGGGCUACACACGUGCUACAAUGGAUGGUACAGAG
rnacentral:rRNA from 1 species